rnacentral:rRNA from 1 species
UACAGAGGCCUCGAGCGUUAGGCGGAAUCACUGGGCUUAAAGCGUGUGUAGGCGGAUCGUUAAGUACCUUGUGAAAUCCCACGGCUCAACCGCGGAACUGCUUGGUAUACUGGCGAUCUUGUGCCACCUAGGGGCGAGCGGAACAGAUGGUGGAGCGGUGAAAUGCGUAGAUAUCAUCUGGAACGCCAAUGGUGAAAACAGCUCGCUGGGGGUGUGCAGACGCUGAGACACGAAAGCCAGGGGAGCGAACGGG